GAUGAACGCUGGCGGCGUGCUUAACACAUGCAAGUCGAACGAUGAAGCCCAGCUUGCUGGGUGGAUUAGUGGCGAACGGGUGAGUAACACGUGAGUAACCUGCCCUUGACUCUGGGAUAAGCGCUGGAAACGGCGUCUAAUACCGGAUACGAGCUUCCACCGCAUGGUGAGUUGCUGGAAAGAAUUUCGGUCAAGGAUGGACUCGCGGCCUAUCAGGUAGUUGGUGAGGUAACGGCUCACCAAGCCGACGACGGGUAGCCGGCCUGAGAGGGUGACCGGCCACACUGGGACUGAGACACGGCCCAGACUCCUACGGGAGGCAGCAGUGGGGAAUAUUGCACAAUGGGCGCAAGCCUGAUGCAGCAACGCCGCGUGAGGGAAGAAGGCCUUCGGGUCGUAAACCUCUUUUAGCAGGGAAGAAGCGAAAGUGACGGUACCUGCAGAAAAAGCACCGGCUAACUACGUG
rnacentral:rRNA from 1 species